UAUAAAUAAUUCUUUUACCAAGGACAAUAAUUUGAUUAAUUGUCUUUUUCAGGGCCAGAGCUUCAUAAUGAUGGACUGAGAUGAGAAUUUAUGAUUUUAACAAGGAGUUCAUUAUCCUUUUUGGUAUACUACACCACCCAGGACCUAAUCUCUUUAAAGCAAGAUCCAUCAAGACGUGAAUAAGCAGUUACGCAUUUCUGCUACUUCAGCUUCUGUGUCGUCUCUGCAAUGAUGGACUGCACCCUCAAACGCUUAUCAGGGCUCACAGGCAGGAAGCUGCAGCAUUACCAUCCACAGGAAAACUUCACCCCUCUGAGAACCUGCUGGGCAUCUGCCUGAAGUGACUUCUCUCAGGAUGCCCUUACAGUGCUGAGAAACCAGCUUUGCCUUGUUGCCCUCAAGAUAUCAUGAUUCUGCACUUGCUGUUGAGCUGAGCCCAGAAGGCCUGGGACUAAAGCUGAAUGUCCAUGCUUCUACUAUGAUUUAGCAGCUAUCACAUGCUCAUCGGCCACAGCUAGAAGUUCUUAUCACCGUACUUUCUGAAUGUGAUGGAGUGUAGCCCUGGAAUGCAAGCCCAGGUAGUUUCAACCUUUAGUUCUUUUUUUUUUUUCAGGUGUUUUGUCACAGUGAUGCAAAAAGGAACUAAUUUUAUCUAAUUUUGUCUGUACAGAACACUUAUAGAUCUUGAAUAUAGAUCUUGAAAGUUGAUUAUUGUAAACUUAACUCAGUAGUGAUUUUUAUUGUAAGUAUUGUACCAGCUGUGGUUUGUUGUCAUUGUUGUUUUUCGUUUGUUUUUCAACACAUUAAAACACUUCCUAGCACCUGGUAUACAGCUAUUGAUCUAGCAAAUAUUUUCCUGCUCUAUCUGUGUCUGUAAGUCCCACAGGAAGCAAUCUGUUUUCACCUGGCAAGGCUAGCAAUAUACCUUUAUUGUCCCACCUCAAGGCUAUUUAAACUCUCCAGCCCUGUGCCAUAAGUUAGUUCUGAGGGAUAUUAAUCACAUGUCCCUUUAAUAAUGUUUCACACUGGUUGGUUACAUUGAUGAUAUCAUUUGUUGAACCAAACACUCUGCAUUUGUUCAUGAAAUGUUUGUGUCUCAGAGAAUAAGAAAUAAGCCCAACAAUAAUAAUAAUACUAAACCAGUGGUCUUCUACAUCAGUAAAAUUCCUAGGUGUCCAGUGAUUCAAGGCAUG